CAGGCCUAACACAUGCAAGUCGAACGCAUCCUUCGGGGUGAGUGGCAGACGGGUGAGUAACACGUGGGAACGUACCUUCUGGUUCGGAAUAACCCUGGGAAACUAGGGCUAAUACCGGAUACGGCCGAGAGGCGAAAGGUUUACUGCCGGAAGAUCGGCCCGCGUCCGAUUAGCUAGUUGGUGUGGUAAUGGCGCACCAAGGCGACGAUCGGUAGCUGGUCUGAGAGGAUGGCCAGCCACAUUGGGACUGAGACACGGCCCAAACUCCUACGGGAGGCAGCAGUGGGGAAUAUUGGACAAUGGGCGCAAGCCUGAUCCAGCCAUGCCGCGUGAGUGAUGACGGCCUUAGGGUUGUAAAGCUCUUUUACCUGGGAAGAUAAUGACGGUACCAGGAGAAUAAGCCCCGGCUAACUUCGUGCCAGCAGCCGCGGUAAU
rnacentral:rRNA from 1 species